rnacentral:rRNA from 1 species
AUUGAACGCUGGCGGCAGGCCUAACACAUGCAAGUCGAACGGUAACAGGAAGAAGCUUGCUUCUUUGCUGACGAGUGGCGGACGGGUGAGUAAUGUCUGGGAAACUGCCUGAUGGAGGGGGAUAACUACUGGAAACGGUAGCUAAUACCGCACAACGUCGCAAGACCAAGGAGGGGGACCUUCGGGCCUCUUGCCAUCGGAUGUGCCCAGAUGGGAUUAGCUAGUAGGUGGGGUAACGGCUCACCUAGGCGACGAUCCCUAGCUGGUCUGAGGGGAUGACCAGCCACACUGGAACUGAGACACGGUCCAGACUCCUACGGGAGGCAGCAGUGGGGAAUAUUGCACAAAGGGCGCAAGCCUGAUGCAGCCAUGCCGCGUGUAUGAAGAAGGCCUUCGGGUUGUAAAGUACUUUCAGCGGGGAGGAAGGGAGUAAAGUUAAUACCUUUGCUCAUUGACGUUACCCGCAGAAGAAGCACCGGCUAACUCCGUG